rnacentral:rRNA from 1 species
GAUGAACGCUGGCGGCGUGCCUAAUACAUGCAAGUCGAGCGAACGGACGAGAAGCUUGCUUCUCUGAUGUUAGCGGCGGGCGGGUGAGUAACACGUGGAUAACCUACCUAUAAGACUGGGAUAACUUCGGGAAACCGGAGCUAAUACCGGAUAAUAUUUUGAACCGCAUGGUUCAAAAGUGAAAGACGGUCUUGCUGUCACUUAUAGAUGGAUCCGCGCUGCAUUAGCUAGUUGGUAAGGUAACGGCUUACCAAGGCAACGAUGCAUAGCCGACCUGAGAGGGUGAUCGGCCACACUGGAACUGAGACACGGUCCAGACUCCUACGGGAGGCAGCAGUAGGGAAUCUUCCGCAAUGGGCGAAAGCCUGACGGAGCAACGCCGCGUGAGAGAUGAAGGUCUUCGGAUCGUAAAACUCUGUUAUUAGGGAAGAACAUAUGUGUAAGUAACUGUGCACAUCUUGACGGUACCUAAUCAGAAAGCCACGGCUAACUACGUG